GAUGAACGCUAGCUACAGGCCUAACACAUGCAAGUCGAACGGAGACAGGGAGGAGCUUGCUCCACCCUGUCUGAGUGGCGGACGGGUGAGUAACGCGUGAGUAACCUGCCUUAAAGAGGGGGAUAACGUCUGGAAACGGACGCUAAUACCGCAUGACAUACGGAGAUGGCAUCAUAACCGUAUCAAAGGAGGAAUCCGCUUUAAGAUGGACUCGCGUCCAAUUAGCUGGUUGGUGAGGUAACGGCUCACCAAGGCGACGAUUGGUAGCCGGACUGAGAGGUUGAACGGCCACAUUGGGACUGAGACACGGCCCAGACUCCUACGGGAGGCAGCAGUGGGGAAUAUUGCACAAUGGGGGGAACCCUGAUGCAGCGACGCCGCGUGAGGGAAGAAGGUUUUCGGAUUGUAAACCUCUGUCCUUGGUGACGAUAAUGACGGUAGCCAAGGAGGAAGCCACGGCUAACUACGUGCCAGCAGCCGCGGUAAUACGUAGGUGGCAAGCGUUGUCCGGAAUUACUGGGUGUAAAGGGAGCGUAGGCGGGAAGACAAGUUGGGAGUGAAAUGUAUGGGCUUAACCCAUAAACUGCUUUCAAAGCUGUUUUUCUUGAGUGAAGUAGAGGCAGGCGGAAUUCCUAGUGUAGCGGUGAAAUGCGUAAAUAUUAGGAGGAACGCCAGUGGCGAAGGCGGCCUGCU
rnacentral:rRNA from 1 species